rnacentral:rRNA from 1 species
CACGGAAUUAGCCGGUCCUUAUUCAUGCGGUACCUGCAAAAACCCACACGUGAGUCCCUUUAUCCCCGCAUAAAAGCAGUUUACAACCCAUAGGGCCGUCAUCCUGCACGCUACUUGGCUGGUUCAGGCUUCCGCCCAUUGACCAAUAUUCCUCACUGCUGCCUCCCGUAGGGGUCUGGACCGUGUCUCAGUUCCAGUGUGGGGGACCUUCCUCUCAGAACCCCUACCGAUCGUUGCCACGGUGGGCCGUUACCCCGCCGUCAAGCUAAUCGGACGCAUCCCCAUCCCUCACCGCUAAGCCUUUCGUCCAAAUCGGAUGCCGUCAAUGGACAACAUACGGUAUUAGUCCGACUUUCGCCGGGUUAUCCCGUGGUGAAGGGCAGGUUGGAUACGCGUUACUCACCCGUGCGCCGGUCGCCAUCAGGGAUUGCAAGCAACCCCAUGCUGCCCCGCGACUUGCAUGUGUUAAGCUGUAGCUAGCGUUCAUCCUGAGCCAGGAUCAAACUCU